rnacentral:rRNA from 1 species
ACGGAAGGCAGCAGUGGGGAAUAUUGGGCAAUGGGCGCAAGCCUGACCCAGCAACGCCGCGUGAAGGAAGAAGGCUUUCGGGUUGUAAACUUCUUUUAGCAGGGACGAAGGACGUGACGGUACCUGCAGAAAAAGCAACGGCUAACUACGUGCCAGCAGCCGCGGUAAUACGUAGGUUGCAAGCGUUGUCCGGAUUUACUGGGUGUAAAGGGCGUGUAGGCGGAGCUGCAAGUCAGAUGUGAAAUCCCGGGGCUUAACCCCGGAACUGCAUUUGAAACUGUAGCCCUUGAGUAUCGGAGAGGCAAGCGGAAUUCCUAGUGUAGCGGUGAAAUGCGUAGAUAUUAGGAGGAACACCAGUGGCGAAGGCGGAUUACUGGACGACAACUGACGCUGAUACACGAAAGCGUGGGGAGCAAACAGGAUUAGAUACCCUGGUA